rnacentral:rRNA from 1 species
AACGAACGCUGGCGGCAUGCCUAACACAUGCAAGUCGAACGAGACCUUCGGGUCUUGUUGCGCACGGGUGCGUAACGCGUGGGAAUCUACCCUCAGGUUCGGAAUAACUCAGAGAAAUUUGAGCUAAUACCGGAUGAUGACGUAAGUCCAAAGAUUUAUCGCCUGAGGAUGAGGCCGCGUAGGAUUAGGUAGUUGGUGAGGUAAAGGCUCACCAAGCCUACGAUCCUUAGCUGGUAUGAGAGGAUGAUCCGACACACUGGGAGUGAGACACGGCCCAGACUCCUGCGGGAGGCAGAAGUGGGGAAUAUUGGACAAUGGGCGAGAGACUGAGGCAGCAAUGCCGCGUGAGUGAUGAAGGACUUAGGGUUGUAAAGCUCUUUUACCAGGGAUGAUAAUGACAGUACCGAGAGAAUAAGCGCCGGCUAACUCCGUG